rnacentral:lncRNA from 1 species
AUGGUCUUCACAAGCAUUCUAAGGCCGUUUCAACAGGAACCAUGAGCAUUGGCCUGCUGACAACUGUUCUCUCAGUUGUGUACUCUGCUGUUCGUGCUGGGUCUUCUACGACCCUUCUUUCUCCUCCAAGUUCUCCCCGUGCAGGUAAUGUACGAAUCUCAAAAAGAAAAUUCAUGUAAGUAGAUGUCUUAUUCUGGAAAGGAGAAAGUAAAGUAAGGUAUCUCCAAUAUUUGUGGGUUGGUCUAAUGUUUUGGUUUCUCUGGUGAAGGUUCUGAUAAACCUCUGCUUCCGUUGGAUGGGAAGAAAGAGGAAGAGAAGACAAAGCCAGUAACAUAUUCUUAUUCCUUCUUCCAUAUCAUAUUUUGUCUUGCAAGUAUGUAUUCUGCCAUGCUUCUAACUGGGU